rnacentral:rRNA from 1 species
ACGCGUGAGGAACCUGCCUCAAAGAGGGGGACAACAGUUGGAAACGACUGCUAAUACCGCAUAAGCCCACGGGUCGGCAUCGACCUGAGGGAAAAGGAGCAAUCCGCUUUGAGAUGGCCUCGCGUCCGAUUAGCUAGUUGGUGAGGUAACGGCCCACCAAGGCGACGAUCGGUAGCCGGACUGAGAGGUUGAACGGCCACAUUGGGACUGAGACACGGCCCAGACUCCUACGGGAGGCAGCAGUGAGGAAUAUUGCACAAUGGGGGAAACCCUGAUGCAGCGACGCCGCGUGGAGGAAGAAGGUCUUCGGAUUGUAAACUCCUGUUGUUGAGGAAGAUAAUGACGGUACUCAACAAGGAAGUGACGGCUAACUACGUGCCAGCAGCCGCGGUAAAACGUAGGUCACAAGCGUUGUCCGGAAUUACUGGGUGUAAAGGGAGCGCAGGCGGGAAGACAAGUUGGAAGUGAAAUCUAUGGGCUUAACCCAUAAACUGCUUUCAAAACUGUUUUUCUUGAGUAGUGCAGAGGUAGGCGGAAUUCCCGGUGUAGCGGUGGAAUGCGUAGA